UACGGAGGGAGCUAGCGUUGUUCGGAAUUACUGGGCGUAAAGCGCGCGUAGGCGGCUUUAUAAGUCGGGGGUGAAAGCCUGUGGCUCAACCACAGAAUUGCCUUCGAUACUGUAGAGCUUGAGACCGGAAGAGGUAAGUGGAACUGCGAGUGUAGAGGUGAAAUUCGUAGAUAUUCGCAAGAACACCAGUGGCGAAGGCGGCUUACUGGUCCGGUUCUGACGCUGAGGCGCGAAAGCGUGGGGAGGCAAACAGG
rnacentral:rRNA from 1 species